CCUACGGGAGGCAGCAGUGAGGAAUAUUGGUCAAUGGCCGGGAGGCUGAACCAGCCAAGUCGCGUGAGGGAAGACGGCCCUACGGGUUGUAAACCUCUUUUGUCAGGGAGCAAGUGGCCGGACGCGUCCGGUUGUGAGGGUACCCGGAGAAAAAGCAUCGGCUAACUCCGUGCCAGCAGCCGCGGUAAUACGGAGGAUGCGAGCGUUAUCCGGUUUUAUUGGGUUUAAAGGGUGCGAAGGCGGGGGCAUUAGUCAGCGGUGAAAUCUCGGGGCUCAACCCCGCCCCGCCGUUGAAACUGGGGGCCUUGAGUGCGGGAGAGGUAGGCGGAAUGCGUGGUGUAGCGGUGAAAUGCAUAGAUAUCACGCAGAACUCCGAUGGCGAAGGCAGCCUGCCGGGCCGCAACUGACGCUGAUGCACGAAAGCGUGGGGAUCGAACAGGAUUAGAUACCCUAGUAGUC
rnacentral:rRNA from 1 species